rnacentral:tRNA from 1 species
GCCCUCGUAGCUCAGUCGGAUAGAGCAGCCGCCUCCUAAGCGGCAGGUCACAGGUUCGAAUCCUGUCGAGGGCACCA